CUUGCAGGACAGGUGAUCGCGGCUGCAAGUGCCGAAAGGCCGCAGGUGAGGAAAGUCCGGGCUUCAUAGGGCAGGAUGCCGGUUAACGGCCGGUGGAGGAAACUCUAAGGAAAGUGCAACAGAAAUAUACCGCCAGACUUGUCUGGUAAGGGUGGAAUGGCAGUGUAAGAGACUACCGCCUCGCUGGUAACAGAGAGGGCACAUGUAAACCCCAUUCGAAGCAAGACCGAAACAAAGCAAAGACGUGGCCCGCUAGCUUUAGGUAGGUCGCUUGAGGCGGCUGGCAACAGUCGUCCUAGAUAGAUGAUCACCCAACGACAUAACCCGGCUUAUCGUCCUGCAUACUUC
rnacentral:RNase_P_RNA from 1 species